CUACGGGAGGCAGCAGUCGAGAAUAAUUCACAAUGGGGGGAACCCUGAUGGUGCAACGCCGCGUGGAGGAUGACGGUCUUCGGAUUGUAAACUCCUGUCAUCUGGGAGUAAGACCUGGCUGUUAAUAGCAGACAGGGUUGAUAGUACCAGAAGAGGAAGGGACGGCUAACUUCGUGCCAGCAGCCCGCGGUAAUACGAAGGUCCCGAGCGUUGUUCGGAAUCACUGGGCGUAAAGGGAGCGUAGGCGGCGCGGUAAGUCAGAUGUGAAAUCCCGGGGCUCAACCCCGGAACUGCAUCCGAUACUGCCGUGCUAGAGGAUUGGAGAGGUAGCUGGAAUUCUUGGUGUAGCAGUGAAAUGCGUAGAUAUCAAGAGGAACACUCGUGGCGAAAGCGAGCUACUGGACAACUCCUGACGCUGAGGCUCGAAGGCUAGGGUAGCGAAAGGGAUUAGAUACCCCUGUAGUCCUAGCAGUAAACGGUGAACGGCUUGGUGUGAGGGGAAUCGACCCCCCUUGUGCGGAGCUACGCGUUAGCGUGCCGCCUGGGAAGUACGGUCGCCAAGACUAAAACUCAAAGAAAUUGACGGGGACCCGGCACAAGCGGUGGAGUAUGUGGCUUAAUUGGAUGCAACGCGAAGAACCUUACCAGGCUUGACCUUGGAUUUUUAAGCACCUGAAGCGUGUGACCCUUCGGGGAACUUCCACAGGUGCCGCAUGGCCGUCGUCAGCUCGUGUCGUGAGAUGUUGGGUUAAGUCCCGCAACGAGCGCAACCCCUUGUGAUUAGUUGCCAGCGCGUUAUGUGGGAACUCUAAUCAGACUGCCCAGAUCAACUGGGAGGAAGUGGGACGACGUCAAGUCAUCAUGGCCCUUACGCCUUGGGCUGCACACGUACUACAAUGCCCAGCACAAUGAGAACCGAUACCGCGAGGUGGAGGAAAUCUAUAAAACUGGGCCCAGUUCGGAUUGGAGGCUGCAACUCGCCUCCAUGAAGUUGGAAUCGCUAGUAAUGGCACAUCAUCUACGGUGCC
rnacentral:rRNA from 1 species